UUAAGUUCAGCGGGUAUUCCUACCUGAUCCGAGGUCAACCAUUGUAAAGAUGGGGGGUUUACCGGUCGGAGCGCGCCCUGGACCGCGAACGAGAGAGAGUCUACUACGUUCGGUGCCAGGCCACGCCCGCCGCUGUCUUUAGGGGGCUGCGACGCGCAGGCCCCCAACACCAAGCCGCGGGGGGCUUGAGGGUUGAAAUG
rnacentral:misc_RNA from 1 species